AUUGAACGCUAGCGGGAUGCUUUACACAUGCAAGUCGAACGGCAGCACGAAAAGAGCUUGCUCUUUUUGGUGGCGAGUGGCGAACGGGUGAGUAAUGUAUCGGAACGUACCCAGUAGCGGGGGAUAACUACGCGAAAGCGUGGCUAAUACCGCAUACGCCCUACGGGGGAAAGGGGGGGAUCGCAAGACCUCUCACUAUUGGAGCGGCCGAUAUCGGAUUAGCUAGUUGGUGGGGUAAAGGCUCACCAAGGCAACGAUCCGUAGCUGGUUUGAGAGGACGACCAGCCACACUGGGACUGAGACACGGCCCAGACUCCUACGGGAGGCAGCAGUGGGGAAUUUUGGACAAUGGGGGAAACCCUGAUCCAGCCAUCCCGCGUGUGCGAUGAAGGCCUUCGGGUUGUAAAGCACUUUUGUCAGGGAAGAAACGGCGCUGACUAAUACUUGGCGCAACUGACGGUACCUGCAGAAUAAGCACCGGCUAACUACGUG
rnacentral:rRNA from 1 species